AAAGCAGGUUGCAAUUACAGUGCUCCGUUUUCGUGGAAGUACUGACAUAAUCCUGCUGAAAGAAAAUCUGUGUUGAUCAUUUUUGAUUUUGCCUUUUAUGGGGGUAAAAUCAUGGCAGAUCGACAUGAACAUUU